UGACGACAAUUCGUGACGACCUAUCAGGCUUGUCACUAAUGUUGUCAGCUAUUUUUCCCAGCAAUUGAGGGAUGUUUUAGUAAGGAUAUUUUGGUCUUUUUUCUUCACUUAUCACGACUUAUAACCCUCAAGGAGCGUAUCAUCUUCCAUUCUCUUUAGUUAAAUAUCUCAAAAAGCUCUCUCAUACACUCUCAACUACAAGAUUAGGGUUUUCUCUUAAGAUCAUCUCCUCAAGAGCAAGCCUAAGGAAUUCUUCAAGAACCUUUAGAAAUAUUAGAUCUCUUUCAAGAUUUAGUCACUAAGGUAUGCGUAGUGUUCAUCCACGGGUCUCUUUCAUCCAUGGAUCUCAAGAAUCAUGUUUUAAAUUAUAAAUUGUGGUUUCUUUGUUGUAUUAUGACUAUAUUCAUGUUGAUGAAUGUUGUUUAGAUUCAAGGUUGUAUCUUGAUGUGUUUUAAUGAAGCAUGUGAAUAGGUUAGUUGAAACCCAUAAAUUUUGGAUGGAUUAAGAUGGUCGAAUUGAUAAAUAUACCUAUGCGUUAAAAGAGUGCAUGCAAGGUGUUUGAUAAAAUGCCUAAGGAACUAGAAAUCAUG
rnacentral:lncRNA from 1 species